GGCGAUUCAUUGAGGAUGAAGCUCUAAAAACAACCAGAUCCAGCUCACGGGUGCCAUGGUUGCAGCAUCCCUAGCGUAGCCCCGCCUUCGGCUCGCCGCGGUCCACCUCCGGCUCGCCGCGGUAGUCGGUGUCCAGCAAAAACUAACAAAAUCCUUAGUGGCCGGUUUGAAGCAAAUUCAUUAUAAGGUUCCAGCAAAAAACACACCGGUUCCAGCAAAAUUAACCUCAACAAAGAAAACUUCGGUGGUUGAUUGUAGCAAAAAAAAUUGCUAGUUCCAGCAAAAAAAACAUUGGUUCCAGCAAAAUAACUCUGAAGGGAGACUUGAAUUGGUUCUAUUGUAGCAAACAAAAAAAGAUUGUAGCAAAAGGAAAAGCUAGUUCCAGCAAAAACAUACACUGGUUCCAGCAAAUAUCGCACGUUGACGAUGAGCACGCAUCUGGUUCCAGCAAAUCGGUGGCCGACGGCAGCAAAAACUGAUACCGGUUCCAGCAAAUGGAUGGCCGGUUGUAGCAUUUCUUGUCACCGGUUGCAACUGUCGACACCGCGGUUGUAGCAAAUCGCCAGUAGUGGUCGUCGCCGCCGCCCGUUGAUUGUAGCAUGGCCGCAUGCCGGUUGUAGCACCUCGGAACGCCGGUUCCAGCUUUGCGUGCAUGCGGUUGGAGCACCGCCGCACCUCGCGUCGCCGCUGGUCGUCCCGCACCUCGUCGGUCACCGCUCGUAGCAGCAAGACGUCGCCGGUUCAUAGCACAGGCGGUGACCGCUCCGCGCGUCCCUGCACACAAGAAAAGCAGUGAGAAAUAGGGAACGGCGCUCCCGCUGGCAAAAAUUAGCUCGACGGCCUGCGCGAGGAGCAGACGGCACAUGAGGCAGGAUUAAAAGGAGAUGGGAAGAGGUGGGGAUCCAUGGAGUUUUUGCCGUGGUGUGUGGAGAAGAGCAUGGGAGCUAUUUCUGUUUCGGUGGAGAAGAAAUCGAUGGAGAAGAAAGGGGAUAAGGUCCGUGUGGUGUAUAGUGGG
rnacentral:rRNA from 1 species